AUCCUCUUCUGUUUUCUACUCCUCUCACUGACUACAGCUGCCACUGUAAGACAUUCAGAAAAAUCUUCUGCUCAGAUUAAAGCUGGAGGAAGGGAGGUGCAGCUUUGGCUCAGCUCUUAACAGUGCAACAUCUAGUGCCUCUAUAGUUCUCUUGGACACAGAUGGCUGCUUUCGAAGAAGAAAGAAGUGGAAAGUGAUGGAGUUUCUAUGCUCCAGCUCUCUUUGCCUGCUGCCAUCCACGUAAGAUGUGACUUGCUCCUCUUUGCCUUCUGCCAUAAUUGUGAGCCCCCCUCAGCCAUGUGGAAUGAUGGAAAACAGAACAAGCCAUGGAGGCCCCAGGGAUCAGGCAGGGCCAAGAGGAUCUGAUGGCGGAAGGGGGAGCACAUCAACAAGACCUUACAAGGCAACUUGCAUGGAUGCUCUGAAGCAACUUUGAGGUCUCCUUGAUGAGGAAAGUUGGCUCAACCUGCUGUAGAGUAGGCCCACAGCCAAGCCAUUGAGAGACAAGUCCAUGGGAGACAAAUUAGCUCAUGCAGCUGAGAUGUCCUGGAGAUUUUCCACAGCACCACUUGGCCAGUGCCUAGACAAGAGGCCAUCUUUGAAGAAGUAAACAAGUACCAUACACUAAAGGGAUGACAGAACAACGAAACAAAAGGCUUCCGAGGCGAUCCGGCAACAUCAGUCUUCAGCCGCUAAGCCAAGAAGAUCUGGGAAGGAGUCAAUCAGAGAGCCUUGGGCCAGAGUUCCAGGGGCUGUGGAAGUGGCUGCCAGGUGAGUUGAACAGUCCGAUUUUCAGUGGGGUCCUACACAGAUGGGACACAGCUUAGGAGGAAUCCUGGGCUGUGGGCAUUCCUUGGCCUAGUGGCCAGAUUUCUGGCACUUGUAGCAAGCUCCUGGGGGAGGAGGUUCUGGAGGAACCCCUGGCAGCUGCGGUUUGGGCGUUUGGAGUUCUUGUGUGCUGGAGAUGUGGCUGGGGUUUGUCUCACAGUGGAGGCAAGAAAUUGCAACUCAGAAAUACAUUGCUACUUGGCUGCCUCUACUCUAUUAUUGUAUAACUUGAAGGUGAGGUUAAUUAAGUCCUGUUGUGAGGUUUGAGGGCCGGAAUUUAAUUUUUGGAGUUUUAUUUAAUGUCAGGAGCGGAUUGGGUAAUAAAAUGUAUAUUGAGAAUAAGACGGCCUUUUGACAUUUUAGGGUCUUGGGCUGUAAAGCGUCUCAGGGUUGCUGCCGAACGAGCCAUGAACUGGGCUGGGUUUUUCAUAUUUGAUGAAAGAGCCUAAAUGCUAACUGAUUUGGGAGAGGUCGGAUAAAGAAAAAGAAGCAUUAACCUUGACUAUGCCUUUAGCUCCAGCCUCCUUUUUAAGAGGAAAUUGCUGGUCAGGUGGAGGAGGGCUAGUCGCGUCGCGGAACGAAACUAUAAGCCGGACUGGGUGUGAGGAGGGGAGGUGAUAAAAGGAUUAUAGGGUGGGGGAGCAGAGGCUGAGGAAGAAUUGGGACCUGGCUUGACCUGGCUUGGCCUGGCGAGGAGCAGCCUGGGGAGGAGGAGAGAGGUCAGAUGGGUCUGUAGAAAAGGAAGAUUAGAAAGACUCAGCGACGCUUGGGGUUGGGACUGAGAGGACAGGCGGGAGGGAAAGAAGGAGGAUUUGGGAUGAGUCACAUUGGGAACAGAGAGUACGGAGAGAACAAUGUGUAAAAGAAUGCCUGGACGUCAGGCACCUCAGACCAUUUGCCCAUUUUACGACAAGAAUUAUCGAGAUCUUGUGGGAUGGAAAAAUCGAAAGUGCCGUUCUGUGGCUAUUUUAGAGCCUUUGUCAAGUUUGUAUUGGGGCCAAGCGGUGUUGCAGAAUAAAAUAAGAUGCUUAGAUUUUAGGUCAGGCGAGAGUUGAAGAGGUUUUAAGUUCUUAAGAACACAGGCUAAGAGAGAAGAAGGAGGAAUGGAGGGUGGAAGGUUGCCCAUAGUGAAGGAGGCAAGUUUAAAGAGAAGGGUAGAGACACGGAGAAGGGGGUGGGGAGCAGCCCUGGGCUGCAACGUGGGUGAGCAGCCAAAGCAGGCGUCCUUGCAAUUGACUUGCCACCAAGGGAACAUGGGCGAAUGAUCAAGGAAGGCACCCCUGCGGAGAUCAGACACCAGUGGAACGUGGGUGAAUAAUCCAAGAGGCAUCUCGGCGAUGAUUAAACACCAAGGUAAGGCUGUCUUCCCGAGUCCGUGACCGGCGCCGGAGUUUUGGGUCCACAGAUAAAAUGUGUCUCCUUUGUCUCUACCCGAAAAUGAAAGGAACUGAAAUUAACAGAAGGGAGAGAUUGAAGUGUGGCGCCAAGCUUGAAAGGAGAAAGAGGUUGAGGGAUAGUGAGGGAGGUUGGAGAAGAGAGUAAAAAGAGGCCGCUUACUGGAUUUGAAAUUGGUGAGAUGUUCCUUGGGCUGGUCAGUCUGAGGACCUGAGGUUGUAGGUGGAUCUUUCUCAUGGAGCAAAGAGUAGGACAGGGGAUUGAUCUCCCAAGGGAGGUCCCCUGAUCCCAGUCACGGCACCAAAUUUCACUCGCGUCCGUGUGAAGAGACCACCAAACAGGAUUUGUGUGAGCAACAAGGCUGUUUAUUUCACCUGGAUGCAGGCGGGCUGAGUCUGAAAAGAGAGUCAGUGAAGGGAGAUAGGGGUGGUGCCGUUUUAUAGGAUUUGGGUAGGUAAAGGAAAAUUAGUCAAAGGGGGUUGUUCUCUGGCUGGCAGGAGUGGGAGGUCACAAGGUGCUCAGUAGGGGAGCUUUUGAGCCAGGAUGAGCCAGGAGAAGGAAUUUCACAAGAUAAUGUCAUCAGUUAAGGCAGGAACAG
rnacentral:lncRNA from 10 species